rnacentral:snRNA from 1 species
UCCGGUUAAAAUUCCGGAAC